rnacentral:rRNA from 1 species
CCAAUAGCGUAUAUUAAAGUUGUUGCAGUUAAAAAGCUCGUAGUUGAAUUUCGGGGUUAGUAGAUUGGUCAUGCCUCUGGUAUGUACUGGUCUUACUGAUUCCUCCUUCCUGAUGAGCCGUAAUGCCAUUAAUUUGGUGUUGCGGGGAAUUUGGACUGUUACUUUGAAAAAAUUAGAGUGUUUAAAGCAAGCUAACGCUUGAAUACAUUAGCAUGGAAUAAUGAAAUAGGACGUUCGAUCCUAUUUUGUUGGUUUCUAGGAUUGACGUAAUGAUUAAUAGGGAUAGUUGGGGGCAUUAGUAUUCAAUUGUCAGAGGUGAAAUUCUUGGAUUUAUUGAAGACUAACUACUGCGAAAGCAUUUGCCAAGGAUGUUUUCAUUAAUCAAGAACGAAAGUUAGGGGAUCGAAGACGAUCAGAUACCGUCGUAGUCUUAACCAUAAACUAUGCCGACUAGGGAUCGGAUGAUGUUAAUUUUUUAAUGACUCAUUCGGCGCCUUACG